UACGGGGGGGGCAAGCGUUGUUCGGAAUUACUGGGCGUAAAGGGCUCGUAGGCGGCCAACUAAGUCAGACGUGAAAUCCCUCGGCUUAACCGGGGAACUGCGUCUGAUACUGGAUGGCUUGAAUCCGGGAGAGGGAUGCGGAAUUCCAGGUGUAGCGGUGAAAUGCGCAGAUAUCAGGAGGAACACCGAUGGCGAAGGCAGGUCUCUGGGCAUUAACUGACGCUGAGGAGCGAAAGCAUGGGGAGCGAACAGG
rnacentral:rRNA from 1 species